AUUAAUGAGGGGAGGAAAAGAAACUAACAAGGAUUUUCUUAGUAGCGGCGAGCGAAAAGAAAACAGUUCAGCACUAAGUCACUUUACCUUUAUGGCAAAUGUGAGAUGCAGUGUAUGGAACGUCUAUAAUCUAGUAUGAGAAAUUAACGAUUUAAGUCCCUCUCAAAAGAGGCCAUUUACCCAUAGAGGGUGCCAGGCCCGUAUAACGUUAAUGAUUAUUAGAAGAUGUUUCCAAAGAGUCGUGUUGCUUGAUAGUGCAGCACUAAGUGGGUGGUAAACUCCAUCUAAAACUAAAUAUAACCAUGAGACCGAUAGUAAACAAGUACCGUGAGGGAAAGUUGAAAAGAACUCUGAAUAGAGAGUUAAAUAGUACGUGAAACUGCUUAGAGGUUAAGCCCGAUGAACCUGAAUAUUCAUUAUGGAAAAUUCAACAUAUGCCUAUAGUAUCAAAAAAUAUUGUAGUAAUAUUGUGCAUUUUUUCCAUAUAAGAACAUUGUAAUCUAUUAACAUAAUAUAUAUUUAUCAUAAGAUUAUUGGCAUAAGUUUAUUCAAAUUAAAUUGCUUGCAAUUUAACAUCGAAUAAAUGCUAAUGAUUUGAUAAAGUGUUGAUAGAUUUAUUAAAUUAGUGCUUAAAUUCUAUUAUAGAAUUUUAUAAUUGCAUGAUUUUCUAAUGAUUUUUAUGUAAAUUAUAUGCACUUAAUUGAUUAACAAUGCGAUAGAUUCAGGAUACCUUCGGGACCCGUCUUGAAACACGGACCAAGGAGUCUAACAUAUGUGCAAGUCAUUGGGAUAAUAUAAUUAAACCCAAAGGCAUAAUUAACUUAACUGAUUUUUAUAUGGGAUUAGUUUUUAGUCUAUUUUAUAGUCUAUUAAUUCAAUCCCGGGGCGUUCUAUAUAGUUAUGUAUAAUAAUAUUUAUAUUAUUUAUACCUCUAACUGGAGCGUACCUUGAGCAAAUAUGCUGUGACCCGAAAGAUGGUGAACUAUACUUGAUCAGGUUGAAGUCAGGGGAAACCCUGAUGGAAGACCGAAACAGUUCUGACGUGCAAAUCGAUUGUCAGAAUUGAGUAUAGCGGCGAAAGACCGAUCGAACCAUCUAGUAGCUGUUCCCUC
rnacentral:rRNA from 1 species